rnacentral:tRNA from 1 species
GUUUUUAUAGUUUAAAAAAAACAUUAAUUUUGUAAAUUAAAAUUAGAUUCCCUUAAAAACA